UACGGCUAUAUCACGUUGAAACACCUGUUUUCAUACGAUCACCAAGUUAAGCAACAUCGAGUCUGGUGAGUACCUAGAUGGGUGACCUCUUGGGAAUAUCAGGUCUUGUA